UCCGGCGUGGUCUAGUGGCUAGGAUACCUGGCUUUCACCCAGGAGGCCCCGGGUUCGAUUCCCGGCGUCGGAA
rnacentral:tRNA from 1 species